UAGGGAAUAUUAGUAAUGGGCGAAAGCCUGAACUAGCAACGCCGCGUGUGCGAAGAAGGCCUUCGGGUUGUAAAGCACUUUUUGAGAGGAUGAGGAAGGACGGUACUCUCAGAAUAAGUCUCGGCUAACUAGGUGCCAGCAGCCGCGGUAACACAUAGGAGGCAAACGUUAUCCGGAUUUACUGGGCGUAAAGCGCGUGUAGGUGGUUUGGUAAGUAGGGCGUGAAAGCUCCUGGCUCAACUGGGAGAGGCCGUUCUAAACUGCCGAACUAGAGGAUGGUAGAGGGAGGUGGAAUUCCUGGUGUAGCGGUGGAAUGCGCAGAUAUCCGGAGGAACACCAGUGGCGAAAGCGGCCUCCUGGACCAUUCCUGACACUCAGACGCGAAAGCUAGGGUAGCAAACGG
rnacentral:rRNA from 1 species